AUAGAAUAGAACUAUAGUCGCACUCAACAUUUACUUAAUGUCCUUAUUUCGUUUUUAUGUUAAUUCAUAAUCAAUAAAAUGACUGCGUAAAAAUGAUUAAAAUAAAAUAAAUAGACAACGCAAUUCGUACACAUGUUUUUCGCCGCCAUUCCUUGAAAAAAAUCCAGUUUCAGUCGAAUCAAUUCAUAGAUACGAUUUCUCCAAUACAUAUUUGUUUUUUCGGAUUCACAAGCAAGCCUAAAUAAGGAGCCGUUUAUCAAGGAUUAUGUCGCCGGUCUCCCCAGUGAAGUACAUAAAAGAAAAAGCGUGUGUGAUGUAACGUAUUAAAUAUCCCGGAAACGGAACUAUAAACCUGAAACGGACAGAUGAAGUUUUCCGCAGUGAUGAGUAAGCUGGGAUUUUGAAAGGGCAUAUAAAGCCUUCGAAACGAUGGAGCUCGGUUGAAUAGGAUUGAUUUCGACGCUGUUGGCGAAUCGAAACAGAACUUAGUAUAUUAGGCUCAUCUGUAAUUCUCUUGCGUAAUUUCUCAUGUGUUUUCCUGUUAAUGUAGAUUUGAAUGAGCGAGUUUAAACUUUAAGUCGGUGUAUUCUUAUCAGCUGUAGAAUUGUAUCAAUGUAAUCCAUUAAGUUCUAUAAUAUAAUGAAUACAUGCUUAGUAGGUAACACAUAAACAACAAUGUUAAGUACCUACCUCGGCGAUUUCCUUCUGACCAAAAAAAAGUACCUACCUCAACAAAAUAUAUUUGUCAUCUAAACAAUGCAUUAUCUAACGUUUAUGUUCAUACUAGCGACCCGCGCUCGCUUCGCUUCGGAAACUGUAAUUUAUUAUUAAUUUCUCCACUAUUUAAUUGAUGUUAUUAUACAUAUAAACCUUCCUCUUCAAUCAUUCUAUCUAUUAAAAAAAAAACGCAUCAAAAUCCGUUGUGUAGUUUUAAAGUUUUAAGGAUACAUAGGGACAGACAGAUAUAGGGGCAGAGAAAGCGACUUUGUUUUAUACUAUGUAGUGAUACUAACAAUUUAUUAAUAUUGAUGAGAUACAUAGUGGUAAUGAUUUUAUAUUUAGACUUAUAAUUGAUGCUUUUCAAGGUCAAGUGUCAUUGGGGAAAAUAUUUUCAAGUUUCAAGUUUGCACUGUGUACCCUGUCAUGGUGUUUCGUUUUUGUAAUUAAACAUUUUGCAACUGAUGUUUGACAAGAGAAAGAGAGAGAGAGAGAGUAUUCUUUAUUGUACACCAAAAAACAAAUAAACAGUGCGAUACAUUAAAAACAAAAAAGUACAAUAGGCGGUCUUAUCGCUAAAAGCGAUCUCUUCCAGACAACCAUCAAGAUUAAUUUUACAUCAAUAGGCCGCGAUUUCUUAAAUGAAUUCCCAAUGAAAUAUCUCUUGACCGUCGAAAGUAACAGAAACGAGUCUAAUGAGUUUUUAAUGUAAAUAAAAUGUAAUUGCUAUGGCCGACGGACGAAAUUAAUUAUAAUCUCAUACGAUUUUUGGGGUACGAAUAGAUAAAUAUAAUGUUCCAUCAAUGUUGUAAACUGUUUUGACUACUUCUUAUUGUAUUUAAUAUUUUCGUUUUGCAUAAUUUUUUUUUAUAACAUAUUACUUGUUUAUUGCUUAGAUUGGUGGACGAGCUCAUGGCCCGCCUGAUGUUAAAUGGUUACCAGAGCCCAUUGACAUCUACAACAUAAAUGCAGCCACCCACCUUGAGACAUUAGUUGUAAGGUCUCACUUUUAAGAGUACAACGUCUGCCCCGCCCUUCAAACCGAAA